rnacentral:misc_RNA from 1 species
AACAUCGCGCACCUGCGGGAACCUGCGGAGGGAUCAUUAAUGCUUUAGCGGGUGUGUUGCGGCCCUCGAGGCCCCGUGCAUUCGCUGCACGGGAACAAGCUCCGGGAGGUGUAGGGUUCCCACGUGGGGCCCUUUCACGCGCACAUGACUGAAUCCUUACUUUACUCGUACCUCUCGUUCUCCUUCGGCGGGGCAGCCUGCCGUUGGAACAGCAAAACUCUUUUUUUGCAUCCAGCAUUA